UACGUAGGGGGCUAGCGUUGUCCGGAAUCAUUGGGCGUAAAGAGCGUGUAGGCGGUCCGGUAAGUCCGCUGUGAAAGUCGGGGGCUCAACCCUCGAAUGCCGGUGGAUACUGUCGGGCUAGAGUGCGGAAGAGGCGAGUGGAAUUCCUGGUGUAGCGGUGAAAUGCGUAGAGAUCGGGAGGAACAUCAGUGGCGAAGGCGGCCUUCUGGACCAGUACUGACGCUGAGGCACGAAAGCGUGGGGAGCAAACAGG
rnacentral:rRNA from 1 species